AAACUACCUUGACUAGAGUUAGAUAGAGGCAAGCGGAAUUCCAUGUGUAGCGGUAAAAUGUGUAAAUAUAUGGAGGAACACCAGAAGCGUAGGCGGCUUGCUGGGUCUUGACUGACGCUGAGGCACGAAAGCGUGGGUAGCAAACAGGAUGGAUACACUGGUAGUCCACGCCGUAAACGAUGAGUACUAAGUGUCGGGAUAAAACUCGGUACUGAAGUUAACACAUUAAGUACUCCGCCUGAGUAGUACGUACGCAAGUUUGAAACUUAAAGGAAUUGACGGGACUCCGCACAAGCGGGGGAUCAUGUUGUUUAAUUCGAAGAUACACGAAAAAUCUUACCAGGUCUUGACAUGCUCUGCAAAGCUAUAGAAAUAUAGUGGAGGUUAUCAGGGACACAGGUGGUGCAUGGUUGUCGUCAGUUCGUGUCGUGAGAUGUUAGGUUAAGUCCUAAAACGAGCGCAACCCUCGUCGUUAGUUACCAGCACGUAAUGGUGGGCACUUUAACGAGACUGCCAAUUAAACAUUGGAGGAAGGUGAGGAUUACGUCAAAUCAUCAUGCCCCUGAUGAUCUAGGCUACAAACGUGAUACAAUGGCUGUCACAAAGGGUAGCUGAAGCGCGAGUUUUUAGCCAAUCUCAAAAAAGCAGUCUCAGUUCGGAUUGAAGUCUGUAACUCGACUUCAUGAAGUUGGAAUCGCUAGUAAUCGCGAAUCAGCAUGUCGCGGUGAAUACGUUCUCGGGGUUUGUACACACCGCCCGUCA
rnacentral:rRNA from 1 species